AGCCCCGUGGUGUAUAACAUUUCGGAUUGCAAACCCGAGGAAGCGGGUUAAUGGCCCGCCGGGGCUU
rnacentral:tRNA from 1 species